CCAUACCUUAGUCCGUCAGCCUUUUUCCGGUCCUGGUCCUUUCUAUGCAACUUUUGUGGCCUACUUGCCCUUGUUGUUUUCUAUAGGAUUUUUUGGACUUCUUUUGCAUUGUCGAUCUACGUCCAUGUGCCUUAGCCGCCGAGCUUCUUUCGCCGUCGGUUGUCGUGGACUAUGAGUUUCUGCACAAUGCUUUAUUCUCUUGAUGUGCCAUCUUCUUUUGACAACCCAUCUUCUCUUGAUACUUAUGUUGUAUCUUCAAGUGAUGCGGUGUCUUCCUCUGAUGUGCCAUCUCUUCGGUAUCUUCCUCUUGAUGUGCCAUCUUCUUUUGACAACCCAUCUUGUCUACCUAUGAUGUGCCAUCUCUUCGUUAUCUCCUUCGGCGACUCGACAAGUUUUGAAGACUCUUCAUGCUACGACGACACUCUCAAGACGCGGAUUUGGAUUAUCAUUUUUUUUAGUAUUACACUUCUUCAAAUGCAAUGCUAUUGCAUACGCUUUGCAUUUGAGGGGGGUGUUAGGAAGUAUUAGUAUUAGUCUAGGAGUCCUUAUUAGUAUUAGUAUUAGUCUAGGAGUCCUUAUUAGUCUAUGUUUACUUUCCUUGCACCUCAAGUCAUGUGUAAUAUAUAUAUGCCC
rnacentral:lncRNA from 1 species